CGCCGGGCUCCUCCCCUUGCAGCCACACGGCGGCCGCGGCCUCUCCGUCAGGCCCCGCUGCCGUUCCGUGGGCGCUGCCAUCAAAAUAGCGGCGGCGGGAAAUGCGAGUGGAGUUUGUUGCUGCCCGGUCUGACAGCUGAGCUGGGGCGCCAUGGCUGCCGCGGUGUCCCCUCGGGCCUGUGGACAACGGGUGGAUUUUUCCGGGCCCCGGCCUCGGCUGGGUUUGCUCCGCGGCCUGGCCCUGGGCCCGGCUGGCUGGGGAGUUGGUGGCUGGGUCAGUGUUCAGCCCUAUCCCCCGACUAUCGCUGUGUACUUUGUUAGACUGGUUUAUGGUGUUUGUGUAUGCUCAUGGAGGUCUGCAAUGUGUCCAUAUGGACGUAGGUUAUCUCUGGAUUGAAGCUUCCACCAUUUUUUGCUUCAAACCAGAUUCUACCAUGUGAAUGUCUCGGUAGAACUCCUUGAGGAUGCCAGUACAAAGCCAUCUCUCACCUAUCACAGCUAGUCUUAGAGAGCGAGACUAGAGAAGCUCUUCAGGAUACCUACAAUGUGACCACGUGCUGGCAGGAGUGGUUCAUCGAGGCUCUGCUCAUCUCAGUGACCCAUUCAUAUUACAGG